rnacentral:lncRNA from 1 species
UUUUUAUAAAGUAAAUUAAAUAUAAAUGAGAUAGGAUCUUUUGGGCAAACUCUUUAGGAAAUAAUUGUUUUAGGAAUGUCUAUUUAAAAAUAAUCUCUCCUGUAGUUCCUGUCAUGGCUCAGGGGUUAAAGAAUCUGACCAGCAUCCAUGAGGACUCGGGUUUGAUCCUUGGCCUCACUCAGUGGGUUAAAGGAUCCAGUGUUGUCAACAGCUGUGGUGUAGGUUGCAGAUGUGGCUUGGAUCCCGUGUUGCUGUGAUUCUGGCGUAGGCCAGAGACUACAGCUCCGACUGGACCCCUAGCCUGGGAACCUUCAAUAUGGCACAGGCGCAGCCCUAAAAAAAAAAAAAAAAAAAGACAAAGGACAAAAAAUAAAUUUAAAAAAAGUUAAGAGUUGUGCUAAAUUAAGGUAAAUGAUAGAAGUUUAUUGAAUAGCUAGGUCAUCGCCAAAUAAGAUACUGAAAGUUUUUGGGGGGCUGUGGCAUGUGCAAGUUCCCAGGCCAGGGACUGAACCCCCACCAUGGCAGCAACCCAAGCCACUGCAGUGACACCAGAUCCUUAUUCCACUGCACCACAAGGAAACUCCUAAAGGAUUAAUUAUUGAACAUUGGUGUCCUUUUACAGAAAAACUAAAAAUAUUUAGGACAAUUAAUAAAUGUUUGGUACCACACAGAUAUUUUUUAUGAGAAAGUACAUGCUUUUUAGAAGUUCUUUAUUGGUAUUUAUGUUUGACAAUCUACAGAAUUCUAAUGUAAAAGUUCACAAUUGCUUGCUUACUCUUAGUUUUCACUAGAAGUUAAGGUUUUAAGAGUUUAGGAUUUUAAUUUAAAUAUGUCAUUAAAGCUACUAGAAAUAAGAAAACAUUUCAGUCUAUGUAGGAAAGCAAGAUGUGUGUGUUCAGUAAAAGAAGAUAUGAGAAAUGGAAUUGCAUUUUGUUAAGGGAAAAGAAAGUAGUUUUGUCCUAGAGCUAGUUGUUUCUAGAUUGGGUUAAAAAAAGGGGGGGGGGAUAAACUAAUAUGGAUACAGAAAAUGAUGAAACAUUUUCUAAUGUGGAACAUGAACUCUGAGAAAGGAAUUUUGUAGAAGUUCAGGACUGGCUAAGUUAGGAAUAAAUUUAGUUGACUAGAUGAAUUUUAAAAGUAAGCUAGUGCAGGAGGUCCUAUUGUGUCUCAGCGGAAAUGAAUCAGACUAUUGUUCAUGAGGACGCAGGCCUGGUCCCCAGCCUCACUCAGUGGGUUAAGGAUCCAGCGUUGCUGUGAGCUGUGGUGUAGGUUGCAGACACAGCUUGGAUCCCUUGUGGCUUUGACUGUGGUGUAGGCUGGCAGCUACAGCUCCAACUUGACCCCUAGCCUGGGAACCUCCAUAUGCCAAGGGUGCAGCCCUAAAAAGCAAAAAAUAAAAAAUAAGAAGUAAACUGAUGCAAAACCUGAAUUUGGUUUUUCUCUCUGUUAAGAAGUUAAGUUUUCUUAAAAUGUUGAGAUGCCUUCGGGAGUUCCUGUUGUGGCGCGGAGGAAACAAAUCCGACUAGUAUCCAUUAGGAUGUGGGUUCAAUCCCUGGCCUUGCUCAGUGGGUCGGGGAUCUGGCGUUGCCAUGAGCUGUGGUGUAGGUCACAGACUUGGCUCAGAUCCCCUUGCUGUGGCUGAGGUGUAAGCCAGCAGCUGGAGAUCCAAUAUGAGCCCUAUCCUGGGAACUUCCAUAUGCCGUGGGUGCAGCCCUGAAAAGCGGGGGAAAAAAAAAAAAAGUUAAGCUUCCUUUGAUAAUAGAUUUUAAGUUUCUUCACAUUUUAAUUUUUUUAUCUUUUUAGGGCUGUACCCACUGCAUAUGGAGGUGUGGCCCUUGAAAAGACCAAAAAAAAAAAAAAAGAAUUUUAGUGGAAAACCUGAAGGCUUCAUAAAAUUAAUUAAAAGGUUUAGUUACACAGGACUGGGUGAACUAGUGAAUAUGGUUAUAAUUUUUAUGGUUUGUCUGAAAUAUUACUGGCUUUUAGUCUGCAUUUUCCAGAUAUAAGGUAAACCUUCCCCUCAAGCUAAUUAUGACUUACGACAGUUUGGUAAAUUAUACCUUUAUAAGCAGAAUUGAAAUAUCUUUUCUAUCUAAUCCCUCCAGAUAAGAGGUUCCCAACAGCUUUAUCAGGCCACCUCCUAACAGGUGCAGGAAUCUUAAGGUAUUUUGGGGACCACCCAAAGCUAUAGAUAUCAUAGGUAAAAUCUAUGACAAGGAAUUGGUAUGGCUUUCUUGGUCUUUUAAAAAUUUAAUCUGAGGUGUUACCACUGUGGCUCAGUGGUAACAAACCGAAACUAGUAUCCAUGAGGAAGAACGUGGGUUCAAUCCCCAGCAUUGCUGUGAGCUGUGGUGUAGGCCAGCAGUUACAGUUCUAAUUCGACCCCUAGCCUGGGAACUUCCAUAUACCAAGGGUACAACCCUAAAAAGAAAAAAAUAAUAAUAAUCUGAGAUUCCUUAUAAAAAAUACCAGCAAAGUUUUUUUUUGUUUUUUGUUUUUUUUUUUAAAUGGCCUCACUGCAGCAUAUUGAAGUUCCCAGGCCAGGGACUGAAUCUAAGCCACAGCUGCAACCUAUGCAGCUGUGGUAAUACCAGAUCCUUUAACCCACUGUGCUAGGCCAGGGAUCAAAUCCCAACUCUGCAGCGACCC